ACAUGGGAGGUUUUAGCCUUGGUCAAAGUUCUCCACCAUCUCUAAAGCCUCUGGGAAGUCUUCAUUCAUAACCGUCAAUAAUGAAAGGGCAGAAGGAGGAACUGACAAGGACUAAGUACAGCACUGGAGGGCCCUGCUGUUCUAGGCUGUUGAUGGAGUUGGAUACCAAAACCCUACUCUCAUUUUGCUACCAAAAGGAAUUAUGUUGUGUCCUCACCUUUAAAUGCACUGUUCUGGAAGUUCUGCAGCAGGAAUGCCUUGGUUUAGAUGUUGACAGGAGCCCAGCGAUUUACUUCACAUCCAUUUGGGUACUUUUCGAGGCAGAUAGGUGCAGAGCCAAAAAACACCACCUAGGGACUUCCCUGGUGCUUCAGCGGUUGCUGAAGCUUAAGCUCGAAUAAUUUAGCCACCUGCUGUGAAGAGUGGACUCACUGGAAAAGACUCUGAGGCUAGGAAAGAUUGAGGGCAAAAGGAGAAGAGAGCGGCAAAGUGUGAGAUGGUUAGAUAGCAACACCAACUCAGUGGACAUGAACUUGAGCAAACUCCAGGGCACAGUGGAGGACAGAGAAGCCUGGUGUGCUGCAGUCCAUGGGUCGCAAAGAGUCGGACACGACUGAGCGACUAUAAACAACAACAACCAGUGGUUAAGACUCCGCCUUGCAAUGCAGAGGACUUUGGUUCAAUCCCUGGUCUGGGAACUAAGAUUCCACACGCUACAGAGUAACUAAACCAACACGCCACACUACUAAGCCCUGAAGCCACAGAGAGUCCAUGCACCACAGUGGAAGAUCCUGCAUGAUGCGACAAAGAGCCCGCGUGCCACAACGAAGACGGGAUGCAACUGAAUACUUUUUUUCUUUUUUUUCUUAAUUAAUUUCUUUUUUAACUGAAGGAUAAUUGUUUUACAGACUUUUGUUGUUUUCUGUCAAACAUCAAAAUGAAUCGGCCAUAGGCAUACAUAUGUCCCCUCCCUCUUGAACCUCCUUCCCACCUCCCUCCCCAUCCCACUCCUCUAGGUUGAUACAGAGCCCUUGUUUGAGUUCCCUGAGACAUACAGCAAAUUCCCAUUGGCUACCUAUUGUGAGAUGUAUGGAGAGAGUAGUAAAUAGUUUUUUUAAAAAUACUGCUUAAAUUAUGUGUGGGAAGAAUCACAUGGGAUUGCAAAGAUAAAUAAAACUUUAAACUAUUUUAGUCUAAAUCUGAAAAUAACAGUUAACACUUAUAGAGACCUUGCUACAUAUCAGGCACUGAACACAUUUCUUAUUUAAUCCCCAGGUGAGUAGUGUAGGUACUACUCACAAUGAAUUUUGCAUUGUUCUCAUAAUGCCUUAGAAGGAUUUCAUCUACAUCUUCACAGUUAAUGAACAACAGUCUAAC
ensembl:lncRNA